UUGAACAUCACCAAUUUGACAUUGUACGAUUUCUCUUAAAUGACAAUAGAUAAAUGCAUGGUUCUUUUUAUAUUGACACAGUAGUUCUUUUACUUUUACGUGAAGCGGAAAAAUUAUUGCUCUAUUUUCAUUUUGGACCUUUAAUCCCAGAAAAAUGGCCAUAACUCAAAAACCGUUGAGGCCUAGACGCCAUCUUGUUCGGGGCCAACUGCCCAUUAUGCCAAACCUACGCUCACCAAGUUUCGGCCUCUAAAUAUUUUCCAUUUAGGAGAUAAGGCCACGUCGUGAUUGGUGAUGUUUUGUACAUUUAUUUUUUGUACAUUCCAUUCGCCCUCUUGUGGGAUUUACCGGGACAGCGGAAAAAUGACCAAAAUUUGAUUAUUUUAUCAAACGGAAACCGAAUGUCCGAGAGAGUUCGUUUGAUGACUUCCUUGAAGAUCCGACCCUGCCGCACGGCCCGACGCCGUCCGCAAAUUUUAGAAACGUUUUCGGACGUCUAGUAAGGGACCGUACAUUUGCAAUGUGGACUUUCUCACUAACCAUAUGGCAAAUGUCAAAAUGUUCCCUUAAGGUAUGUAAGUGGGACAGUUUUUUGUAUUCUGAAAUGCACUCUAACUACGUCACAUUUAGUGUCUCAUUAUGUUGCAAUGGGAAAACAGUAUUCAUGGGCACAGAAAUCCUAAAAAAAUUCAGUUUUCUAAAUCCAAUGGUUCUAACCGAGAGUCACCUUAACUUUAACACCCAAAUCGGUACUGUCAUUAUCGCAGUUCUUCAAUAAUUAAACAUAAUACUUAAUACUGUAGCUGUUUAGUUAGUCGCAUGUUCAACUAUCAUCAGCUGAUCCAGGAAAUAAUUUUCUGAAUGACAACAUCACGACAUGCAACAACAAUCAAAGUGCUUCUUCAUUCAUUACACCGGUAAAGACAGUUAUGCCAUGCUCCACGUUGGAUCCAACAUCCCUUACAAAUUUAUGUUUAUAAUGUGUUAUUGUCUGCUUGAUUUACAGUAGGGUCUCGUUAGUCUGUUUGGACACAGAGAUACUUUGCUCGUAAUGUGUAGAAAACUGUUCCUUGAUGGAUAUGCUAUUGUACAACACACAAAGCAAUUUUUCUUUAUUCAGGACAUUUAGAAUGACAUCACGUUACAGAGUAGCCUAGUGGGAUUAUUCACACAAUUAACUGGUGAUCAGGUUAUGAAAUGUCAUGACAAAGACAUUUUAGUUUCCUUGUUUCACCUGAAAUAUACAAUUAUAUAUAGUAUUAGGUCUAUGUUGUUGUAAGGUGAAAUUAUGGCUCCUACAGUAGGUCUAUGUUAUUGUUAGGUGAAGUGGGGCGGCAAGUGGGUCGACAGGUAGCCGAGCGUUGGGCCAGUAACUGAAAGGUUAUAAGAUCGAAUCCCCGAGCUGACAAGGUAAAAAUCUGUCAUUCUGCCCCUGAACAAGGCAGUUAACCCACUGUUCCUAGGCCGUCAUUGUAAAUACGAAUUUGUUACUGACUUGCCCAGUUAAAUAAAGGUAAAAUAAAAAGUUAUGGGUCCUACAGUAGGUCUAUGUUGUUGUUAGGUGAAGUUAUGGGUCCUACAGUAGAGCUAUGUUGUUGUUAGGUGAAGUUAUGGGUCCUACAGUAGGUCUAUGUUGUUGUUCGGUGAAGUUAUGGAUCCUACAGUAGGUCUAUGUUAUGGAUCCUACAGUAGGUCUAUGUUGUUGUUAGGUGAAGUAAUGGGUCCUACAGUAGGUCUAUGUUGUUGUUAGGUGAAGUUAUGGGCCAAUUUGUUAAACACUUAGUGUACAAACCCUCAUUGUCAGGUUGAUGGCAAAGCUAGCCAAAGAGCAUUUUACUUGAAGUGUUUUUUUAAAGUAUAAAUCAGUCGAUUUGCGACAAUAACACAAACAUUUUAAGCAGGAUAUUCAAACAAACCUUACAAUUAUAAUCCAAAAGUAAUGUGAAAUGCACUCAUAAGCAACCUGUUGUCAUGACUUUGGCCUCUUUGGGUAUAGCAAGCCCCAUCCCCCUCUCCCUGCCUCCCCCUUGCCUCCUUCAACUAGGUUGCUGUGGUCAGAGAGACGUCGUAAAUUCCUGAGAAGACCCUGCCACAGGGCCACACAGUAUAGAGAGAGUAGAUUUUCAUGGAGAACAAAGGAAUUCCUUCCACCUCACGGAACUUGAGGUACGAACAAAUUUCAUGUUCCCGGAGAAAGUAUAAAAGAUUGGCGAAGAAUACAGCUACGAACUGGUCCGUUUGUCACAACUUGGGGAAGCUCAUGGGAGACGGUGUGGGCACAUUACUAUAACGCUGUUUAUAUAAUAGCCUCAGAUAUUAUGUUUACAUCUAAUUGUGGUAUAAGAUGAAUGAGUGAGUAUGAUACUGUUUGCAUAAUUGUGUAAUAUGAUUUUGGACUGUUUAAUGAAGACAAAUACAAUUUCCUUUUGAUUUGAACUAAAUCAGAGGACCGCCCCUGAUCCCAGUUAGGGUCAGACAUCCUGGGACAGUCCCUUUUCGGCCCUUCCGAAUAAAACCCCCACUCGGGUUAUCGAUCAGCAGACCGAGCUUAACUCAAUUACGAGAUGGCUAAAGGUUGCAGACCAUGUUUUUAUCCAUUAGGAGGGGGACAAAGGUUGUAGACCAUUGCUGAAUCUUUUAACCAUACCACGUGGUUAAACUCGAAGACUAUCGAUACCGACAGAAUAAGAACAAGUCUUUGAUAUUAAUUACUAGUCUGCAGCUAGGAAUUCGGUAUCAUUGAACGCAAACAAUGACAACCGCCGAAACAUCCAUUCUAUAACGAAUGUCACUCUGAACUAUCCCCUCUAACCACAACCAAGAGGGAGAGAGACGGACAAUUCUAUAAAAGACGCAAACUUUUCACCAGCGAUCAAGACAACACACUGAGCGUAAAUAUAUAUAUUGAUUGCAAUUGUUCCCGAAUGAGUGAGUGUUCAUGUGCAAAGGAUUAGCAUUUCAAUUGUUAUAAUUAUCACUUUGUUGUGACUUCUUAGUCGACCCCCACUUCCCCUUUUGUCUAACAAGCCGCCAUGCCGGUUUAGCCCACUAGGGCACAUUCUCCUAUCAUUACAUAUACUUUGUUUGUUUGUUUAUUUGUUUAUGCAUUUCUGUGAAUUACUUAGUCAGUAAUAAAUAAAUUAUUUAAGACAAUUGAUGUAUAGAUGACUCAUAGUGAAGACUAGGUUCGUGCGGAUAACCAACAAUUUACGACGUUUGGAAUGAGACUAACGUGAGGUAAAGAAAUUAAUUAAUUAAUUCGAAGACUAAUUGAUCAAAUCAAAUUUAUUUAUAUAGCCCUUCGUACAUCAGCUGAUAUCUCAAAGUGCUGUACAGAAACCCAGCCUACAACCCCAAACAGCAAGCAAUGCAGGUGUAGAAUCACAGUGGCUAGGAAAAACUCCCUAGAAUGGCCAAAACCUAGGAAGAAACCUAGAGAGGAACCAGGCUAUGUGGGGUGGCCAGUCCUCUUCUGGCUGUGCCGGGUGGAGAUUAUAACAGAACAUGGCCAAGAUGUUCAAAUGUUCAUAAAUUACCAGCAUGGUCAAAUAAUAAUAAGGCAGAACAGUUGAAACUGGAGCAGCAGCACGGCCAGGUGGACUGGGGACAGCAAGGAGUCAUCAUGCCAGGUAGUCCAUGGUAGAAUUAGAGAGAUCAUACUUAAAUUCACACAGGACACCGGAUAAGACAGGAGAAGUACUCCAGAUAUAACAAACUGACCCUAGCCCCCCGACACAAACUACUGCAGCAUAAAUACUGGAGGCUGAGACAGGAGGGGUCAGGAGACACUGUGGCCCCAUCCGAUGAUACCCCCGGACAGGGCCAAACAGGAAGGAUAUAACCCCACCCACUUUGCCAAAGCCCCCACACCACUAGAGGGAUAUCUUCAACCAUCAACUUACCAUCCUGAGACAAGGCCGAGUAUAGCCCACAAAAAUCUCCGCCACGGCACAACCCAGGGGGGGGCGCCAACCCAGACAGGAAGAUCACAUCAGUGACUCAACCCACUCAAGUGACGCACCCCUCCUAGGGACGGCAUGAAAGAGCACCAGUAAGCCAGUGACUCAGCCCCUGUAAUAGGGUUAGAGGCAGAGAAUCCCAGUGGAAAGAGGGGAACCGGCCAGGCAGAGACAGCAAGGGUGGUUCGUUGCUGCAGAGCCUCUCCGUUCACCUUCACACUCCUGGGCCAGACUACACUCAAUCAUAUGACCCACUAAAGAGGUGAAGGUUGAGACCGAGUCUGCGUCUCUCACAUGGGUAGGCAGACCAUCCCAUAAAAAUGGAGCUCUAUAGGAGAAAGCCCUGCCUCCAGCUGUUUGCUUAGAAAUUCUAGGGACAAUUAGGAGGCCUGCGUCUUGUGACCGUAGCGUACGUGUAGGUAUGUACUGCAGGACCAAAUCAGAGAGAUAGGUAAGAGCAAGCCCAUGUAAUGCUUUGUAGGUUAGCAGUAAAACCUUGAAAUCAGCCCUUGCCUUGACAGGAAGCCAGUGCAGGGAGGCUAGCACUGGAGUGAUAUGAUCAAACUUUUUGGUUCUAGUCAGGAUUCUAGCAGCCGUAUUUAGCACGAACUGAAGUUUAUUUAGUGCUUUAUCCAGGUAGCCGGAAAGUAGAGCAUUGCAGUAGUCUAACCUAGAAGUAACAAAAGCAUGGACUACUUUUUCUGCAUCAUUUUUGGAAAGAAAGUUUCUGAUUUUUUGCAAUGUUACGUAGAUGGAAAAAAUCUGUAAUUGAAACAGUCUUGAUAUGUUUGUCAAAAGAGAGAUCAGGGUCCAGAGUAACACCGAGGUCCUUCACAGUUUUAUUUGAGACGACUGUACAACCAUUAAGAUUAAUUGUCAGAUUCAACAGAAGAUCUCUUUGUUUCUUGGGACCUAGAACAAGCAUCUCUGUUUUGUCCGAGUUUAAAAGUAGAAGGUUUGCAGCCAUCCACUUCCUUAUGUCUGAAACACAGGCUUCUAGUGAGGUCAAUUUUGGGGCUUCACCAUGUUUCAUUGAAAUGUACAGCUGUGUCAUCCGCAUAGCAGUGAAAGUUAACAUUAUGUUUUCGAAUGACAUCCCCAAGAGGUAAAAUAUAUAGUGAAAACAAUAGUGGUCCUAAAACAGAACCAGAGGACAAACCGAUAUCUUUCCGACAGAUAAGAUCUAAACCAGGCCAGAACUUGUCCGUGUAGACCAAUUUGGAUUUUCAAUCUCGCCAAAAGAAUGUGGUGAUCGAUGGUAUCACAAGCAACACUAAGGUCUAGGAGCACGAGGACAGAUGCAGAGCCUCGGUCUGAUGCCAUUAAAAGGUAAUUUAUCACCUUCACAAGUGCAGUCUCAGUGCUAUGAUGGGGUUUAAAACCAGACUGAAGCAUUUCGUAUACAUUGUUUAUCUUUAGGAAGUUGCUGCGCAACAGCUUUUUCAAAAAGAAUUGAGAGGAAUGGAAGAUUCGAUAUAGGCCGAUAGUUUGUUUAUAUUGUCUGGGUCAAGGUUCGGCUUUUUCAAGAGAGGCUUUAUUACUGCCAUUUUUAAUGAGUUUGGUACACAUCCGGUGGAUAGAGAGCCGUUUAUUAUGUUCAACAUAGGAGGUUCAAGCACAGGAAGCAGCUCUUUCAGUAGUUUAGUUGGAAUAGGGUCCAGUAUGCAACUUGAAGGUUUAGAGGCCAUGAUUAUUUGCAUCAUUGUGUCAAGAGAUAUAGUACUAAAACACUUGUGUCUCUCAUGAUCCUAGGUCCUGGCAGAGUUGUGCAGACUCAGGACAACUGAGCUUUGAAGGAAUACGCAGAUUUAAAGAGGAGUCCGUAAUUUGCUUUCUAAUAAUCAUGAUCUUUUCCUCAAAGAAGUUCAUGAAUUUAUUACUGCUGAAGUGAAAGCCAUCCUCACUUGGGGAAUGCUGCUUUUUAGUUAGCUUUGCGACAGUAUAAAAAAUAAAUUUUGGAUUGUCCUCAAUUAAGUUGGGAAAAUAGGAUGAUCGAGCAGCAGUAAGGGCUCUUCGAUACUGCACGGUACUGUCUUUCUAAGCUAGUCGGAAGACUUCCAGUUUGGUUUGGCGCCAUUUCCGUUCCAAUUUUCUGGAAGCUUGCUUCAGAGCUCGGGUAUUUUCUGUAUACCAGGGAGCUAGUUUCUUAUGAGAAAUGUUUUUAGUUUUUAGGGGUGCAACUGUAUCUAGGGUAUUGCGCAAGGUUCAACUGAGUUCCUCAGUUAGGUGGUUAACUGAUUUUUGUCCUCUGACGUCCUUGGGUAGGCAGAGGGAGUCUGGAAGGGCAUCAAGGAAUCUUUGUGUUGUCUAUGAAUUUAUAGCACAACGUUUUAUGCUCCUUGGUUGGGGUCUGAGCAGAUUAUUUGUUGCAAUUGCAAACAUAAUAAAAUGGUGGUCCGAUAGUCCAGGAUUAUGAGAAAAAAACAUUAAGAUCCACAACAUUUAUUCCAUGGGACAAAACUAGGUCCAGAGUAUGACUGUGACAGUGAGUAGGUCCAGAAACAUGUUGGACAAAACCCUGAGUCGAUGAUGGCUCCCAAAUCCUUUUGGAGUGGAUCUGUGGACUUUUCCAUGUGAAUAUUAAAGUCACCAAAAAUUAGAAUAUUAUCUGCUAUGACUACAGGGAUAGGAAUUCAGGGAACUCAAUGAGGAACGCUGUAUAUGGCCCAGGAGGCCUGUAAACAGUAGCUAUAAAAAGUGAUUGAGUAGGCAGAUUUAGUGGGUCUCAUGGUGGGUGUCUUUUAGGUCCCAGUUGUUGUUACUAGUCAACUUUCAGUGAACACCCCCAUAGUGUCAUUCAGAACCCCUCCUAAAACCUGUUUAGUUUUGGUUGUUGUCAAUGACUCUUUGUUAGAUCCCUCUUCUAUGUAAGGGACAUUUUUGGUUUUCUUGCUGAGAAACACAAACAAUGUACAUCCAAUUCAAUGGUAUUUCCAUAGAAUGCUCAUUAGUCUUUCAGUUGUUAAUCUUCUGUUUUUUAUCCACUUAUGUUUAAUUGGUAAAUAAUUGUUUAUUUUCAUUUGUAUUUGUUUUUUUCCUGUGAAGCCAUUGUGUUGCAUCCAUGUCUGAAAUGUGCUGUAUAAAUAAAGCUUGUUUUGAUAUUAACAUGCAAAACAAAUUAACCCAAUGACUGACCAAUCAACAGAAUCUUGCUAAACCAAUUUACAAAUAUGUGCUAAAGCAACGCAUAUCUUAGUACGAAAAACAGUUUCUUCCACUAUGUCAAUAUAGUACAUGGUAUGUCCAUUUAGUAUCACUUUUCAACCAACCCAGUGCAUUUGUUGAAAAUUGGGAAAAAAGUUGAAAUCAACAAUCCGUCAAAGGAUUCAACUAUUGAAAACUGAAACAAACAAAUGGAUCAACCAGAUCAAUCCCACUUUUCCAGCCUGCUGAAGGCGUGGUGGAGUGGUAAACACCAUCCCCGGCUCUACCAGAGCGUUGAGGUGGUCUCCCACAGCUCUGCUUAUGUCAUGUCAUGCAUAAGCAAUGUAAAGAGUAGUGGGGAAAAGUACAUUUUACACAAAUUACCUUCACAAUAGCAAAGAACAAAUGUGUGCCUGAGAGGAAAUGUACUUUCAUACAGCCAAAAGGGGUGGGAAAUUACACCAAUAUCAGUGGACAAUUUGUACUCAUGUAAAUAAACAUAGAUGGAACAUAUUCCCUUUUGCUGACGUGAUGAACCGCUAAGGGGACGUAAAUAUUUACCAUCUAAACCACACUUCUACACCUCUCUGGCUGUAGAAGUGUUCUUCCUAGCCAGUCCCUCAACAGCUCUCUGACUGAGCUCCACCCUCACUGGGUCUUCAGAGGAGAGGAAGGCUGAGGGAUGGAAGGAUCAGUCAGUCAAUAAAGUGUAGAGCUGCUGUCUAUGCUGUCUGACAAAAUCACUAUUUUAGUAGUUAAAUGAAGUAAAUAAGGAUAUAUGACUGCUGAAUACCAACUAUCAAUCAAUCACUUAUUACUUCCGGCGCCGACAGAGAUGGCCGCCUCGCUUCGCGUUCCUAGGAAACUAUGCAGUUUUUUGUUUUUUUACGUGUUAUUUCUUACAUUGGUACCCCAGGUCAUCUUAGGUUUCAUUACAUACAGUCGAUACAAUAUAAGAGCAGCGUCAACUCACCAUCAGUACGACCAAGAAUAUGUCUUUCGCGAAGCGGAUCAUGUGUUCUGCCUUUCACUCAGGACAACGGAAUAGAUCCCAGCCGGCGACCCAAAAAAACGACUUCGUAAAAGAGGGAAACGAAGCGGUCUUCUGGUCAGACUCCGGAGACGGGCACAUCGCGCACCACUCCCUAGCAUACUUCUCGCCAAUGUCCAGUCUCUUGACAACAAGGUUGAUGAAAUCCGAGCAAGGGUAGCAUUCCAGAGGGACAUCAGAGUAAUGUCACUGUAACGUUCUUUGCUUCACGGAAACAUGGCUCACUGGAGAGACGCUAUCGGAGUCGGUGCAGCCAGCUGGUUUCUCAGCGCAUCACGCCGACAGAAACAAACAUCUUUCUGGUAAGAAGAGGGGCGGGGGCGUAUGCUUUAUGGUUAACAGGACGUGGUGUGGUCACAACAACAUACAGGAACUCAAGUCCUUCUGUUCACCUGAUUUAGAAUUCCUCACAAUCAAAUGUCGACCGCAUUAUCUACCAAGGGAAUUCUCUUCGAUUAUAAUCACAGCCGUAUAUAUUCCCCCCCAAGCAGACACAUCGAUGGCUCUGAACAAACUUUAUUUGACUCUUUGCAAACUGGAAUCCACAUAUCCCGAGGCUGCAUUCAUUGUAGCUGGGGAUUUUAACAAGGCUAAUCUGAAAACAAGACUCCCUAAAUUGUAUCAGCAUAUCGAUUGCGCAACCAGGGCUGGCAAAACCUUGGAUCAUUGCUAUUCUAACUUCCGCGACGCUUAUAAGGCCCUCCCCCGCUCUCCUUUCGGAAAAACUGACCAUGACUCCAUUUUGUUGCUCCCUGCCUACAGACAGAAGCUAAAACAAGAAGCUCCCGCGCUGAGGUCUGUUCAACGCUGGUCUGACCAAUCUGAUUCCACACUCCAAGACUGCUUCCAUCACGUGGACAGGGAUAUGUUUCGUAUUGCGUCAAACAACAACAUUGACGAAUAUGCUGAUUCGGUGAGCGAGUUCAUUAGAAUGUGUGUUGAAGAUGUUGUUCCCAUAGCAACGAUUAAAACAUUCCCAAACCAGAAACCGUGGAUUGAUGGCAGCAUUCGCGUGAAACUGAAAGCGCGAACCACUGCUUUUAAUCAGGGCAAGGUGACCGGAAACAUGACCGAAUACAAACAGUGUAGCUAUUCCCUCCGCAAGGCAAUCAAACAAGCUAAGCGUCAAUAUAGAGACAAAGUAGAGUUACAAUUCAACGGCUCAGACAGAAGAGGUAUGUGGCAGAGUCUAUAGUCAAUCACGGAUUACAAAAAGAAAACCAGCCCAAUCACGGACCAGGAUGUCUUGCUCCCAGGCAGACUAAAUAACUUUUUUGCCCGCUUUGAGGACAAUACAGUGCCACUGACACGGCCCGCAACCAAAACAUGCGGACUCUCCUUCACUGCAGCCGAGGUGAGUAAAACAUUUAAACGUGUUAACCCUCGCAAGGCUGCAGGCCCAGACGGCAUCCCCAGCCGCGCCCUCAGAGCAUGCGCAGACCAGCUGGCUGGUGUGUUUACGGACAUAGUCAAUCAAUCCCUAUCCCAGUCUGCUGUUCCCACAUGCUUCAAGAGGGCCGCCAUUGUUCCUGUUCCCAAGAAAGCUAAGGUAACUGAGCUAAACGACUACCGCCCCGUAGCACUCACUUCCGUCAUCAUGAAGUGCUUUGAGAGACUAGUCAAGGACCAUAUCACCUCCACCCUACCUGACACCCUAGACCCACUCCAAUUUGCUUACCGCCCAAAUAGGUCCACAGACGAUGCAAUCUCAACCACACUGCACACUGCCCUAACCCAUCUGGACAAGAGGAAUACCUAUGUGAGAAUGCUGUUCAUCGACUACAGCUCAGCAUUUAACACCAUAGUACCCUCCAAACUCGUCAUCAAGCUCGAGACCUGGGUCUCGACCCCGCCCUGUGCAACUGGGUACUGGACUUCCUGACGGGCCGCCAACGUUUGGUGAGGGUGGAUAACAACAUCUCCACCCCGCUGAUCCUCAACACUGGGGCCCCACAAGGGUGCGUUCUGAGCCCUCUCCUGUACUCCCUGUUCACCCACGCGUGGCCACGCACGCCUCCAACUCAAUCAUCAAGUUUGUGGGCGACACAACAGUGGUAGGCUUGAUUACCAACAACGACGAGACGGCCUACAGGGAGGAGGUGAGGGCCCUCGGAGUGUGGUGUCAGGAAAAUAACCUCACACUCAACGUCAACAAAACUAAGGAGAUGAUUGUGGACUUCAGGAAACAGCAGAGGGAACACCCUCCCUAUCGACAUCGAUGGAACAGUAGUGGAGAGGGUAGUAAGUUUUAAGUUCCUCGGUGUACACAUCACAGACAAACUGAAUUGGUCCACCCACACAGACAGCAUCGUGAAGAAGGCGCAGCAGCGCCUCUUCAACCUCAGGAGGCUGAAGAAAUUCGGCUUGUCACCUUCUACAGAUGCACAAUCGAGAGCAUCCUGUCGGGCUGUAUCACCGCCUGGUACGGCAACUGCUCCGCCCACAACCGUAAGGCUCUCCAGAGGGUAGUGAGGUCUGCACAACGCAUCACCGGGGGCAAACUACCUGCCCUCCAGGACACCUACACCACCCAAUGUCACAGGAAGGCCAUAAAGAUCAUCAAGGACAACAACCACCCGAGCCACUGCCUGUUCACCCCACUAUCAUCCAGAAGGCGAGGUCAGUACAGGUGCAUCAAAGCUGGGACCGAGAGACUGAAAAACAGCUUCUAUCUCAAGGCCAUCAGACUGUUAAACAGUCACCACUAACAUUGAGUGGCUGCUGCCAACACACUGACUCAACUCCAGCCACUUUAAUAAUGGGAAUUGAUGUAAAAUAUAUCACUAGCCACUUUAAACAAUGCUACUUAAUAUAAUGUUUACAUACCCUACAUUAUUCAUCUCAUAUGUAUACGUAUAUACUGUACUCUAUAUCAUCUACUGCAUCUUGCGUAUGCCGCUCUGUACCAUCACUCAUUCAUAUAUCUUUAUGUACAUAUUCUUUAUCCCUUUACACUUGUGUGUAUAAGGUAGUAGUUUUGGAAUUGUUAGAUUACUCGUUGGUUAUUACUGCAUUGUCGGAACUAGAAGCACAAGCAUUUCGCUACACUCGCAUCAACAUCUGCUAACCAUGUGUAUGUGACAAAUAAAAUUAGAUUUGAUUUACUUAGAUCAUGUAUUUUCAGGUAGAAAUGCAUCUUUGGGACAUCCCUAGCCCAUAAGUUGACAUUUAAAAUGGUAGAGGUUAGGGUUUAGGGUAGAGAUGUCCUAGGGAUCCCAGAUAUCAUUGAUCAUUGUGCAUUUGUAACCGAUGUGAAGUGGCUUGCUAGUUAGCAGGGUGCGUGCUAAUAGCGAUGGGUAACGAUGGUUCGUAGGUGUCAGUUGUUGAUGUGUGCAGAGGGUCCCUGAUUCGAGCCCAGGUAGGGAAGAGGAGAGGGAGGAAGCUAUAUUGUUACACAUUCUUCGGUCUCUUUUACGUAUGAUGUGUAAAAGAAACACAGACAAGACAAGUAGACACGCAGGUCAUUAUGGUCAUUGUAGUUUAAUAAUAGCAUCUAAUUAUGCCAAUCUGUAUGUGGGGUUGUUAGAGAAGAAUGUGAUCGACAGCCCUAACAAUCCAUUUUAGCCAAUGAGGCUCUGAAAAAGGCUUCAUUGAUGACGUGUUCCUUCUAUUCCAGGGGACAGCAGAGGAACUUCAUUGAUUCCACUCCUUCAUCAAUACAAGCAUUGAACAUCUGAAAUUCACCCUCACCUUUGAUGAGCAUGAAACAAGUUAUCUGGACAUUUUGAUUAAGAGGGAGGGGAGUGGCUUUAGCACAGACCUAUACAGGAAGCCGACGGACAGGAAUUCCCUGUUACGCUGAGACAGCUUCCACCCUACACCCCUAAAAAAGAGCCUCCCCAUCAGCCAAUACAGUUGCAUACACAGGAUUUGUAGUACACAGAGUGACUAUGACAAACAAGCCGACUGUCUGGAUGAGUGUUUCAGACAGCGGGGUUACCCAGAGGAAUGGCUGGAUGACGCAAGGGAUCGUUAUAAAAAUACAGUGGUGUAAAAAGUACCCAAUUGUCAUAAUUGAGUAAAGAAAACAUUUAAUAUUUCAUUUUAAUUUUGUAAAUUUAAAACAGAAACAUAGCUGUUUCGUGGCUACGACUAAGUUAAUAAGUCAUUAACCAGACUGUGUUGUUACACUGGUGAGUAAAAACUCAUGCUUCCUACACUUUACCUUGUUGUCUGAAAAUAAAAUAUACAUUUUACUCAACUGCGUCCAGUCAGCAGAUGGACUAGAUGCUGCUUAGGCCGCCCGCUGUGACUCCGUCAAGAAUUCUGGAGAGCAAGUUUGUAUGAAGGUCUGGUUAUUAAAUGGGUACAUAGUUCAAUAGUAAUAUCCUCUAAAACGCUCUGGUGACAAACGUUGCUGUUGUAUUUAUCACUGUAAAAAAACAAACUCCAAAUGCAUUUAUAGGUAGCUAGCUAACAGCCAUGGAGGAGGGUGCAAGGAUAGCAGACCCAACUGUCAGUGAGAGAGGAGGCUAUUCUGGAUAGGACAGGUACUUUUGUGUUGUUCCAGUCCCUAGAAGUGAGGACGGAGAUAAUAGUAACAUAAUAUUCAGUGUGGUGUAAUUUGACUAUAAUGAAGUCUGUUUCUUGUGAGGUUUUCUGUCCCCAGAUAAAGAGCGCUAUGAAAGCCAGUCUACAUAUGAAGAGGUUUAUGUAUUCAUUUGUGAUGCUAUCCUUGAUAUGCUGCUGUUAUUGUCACAUGCUACACAUGCACAUAUGUGUGCCCAUGCAUCUAUCAAUCCAAUGUUAUCAUGAUUUGUUAUCAGGGAUAUUACACUUUAGUAAUCCACAAUGACCUGGAGAUGUAACAGUCUAAUAAUUACAUUGUCUUUCAUAUUCCAACAGAUACCUUGUAACUGGAGAUUCCUCAAAACGAUUUCCUACAGUUAAUGUGUAGGGCACUGCAAGGUUGGGUGACCAGGGUCAUCUGGGGCUGCCUCCUGGAGGAUUUCAGGUGUGUGAAGGCUACCUGUGUCCUGCGUAACUUCAUGAGGAUCGACACGAGAACCAGGAGGGGAUCUGCUGCUCGCCGCCAUGUCCCAGAGGAGAAGUCUGCUGCUCUGCAGGAUGUUUCAAGGAUGGGGUCCAACAACGCAGCAAGAGAGGCAUUCCAUGUGCAGGAGAUCUUCACCUCCUACUUCUUGAAAGAGGGUGCUGUUUCCUGGCAACACCAUAGACUACACUAUGCACAACCAAAGGCUCUUUUAAAAGCCAUUCACAUUGCAAUAAGAGUAUUCUUCCAUUUACUUAGGUAUGUCAACUGAAGUUAUUCAAUUCACAGUUUCUCUCCCUUGAUUUCUACUUCUCAGGUGAGGGUGCUGUUUAGUUAAGGGUGUGAUGUCUGUGCAAAAAACAAAACAGGCUAUUUUAAAUCACCCACAUUGAAAAAAUGUAGAACAAUUAGACACCCUAUAACCCACACCUACACACUCAUGUAUCAAUCUGAUUGAUGGAUUGUGUUGUGCAGUAAGCAGGUUCAGAUGUAUAACUGUGGCUCCUUCCACCUUCAACGAAUAGGCAAGAGGGCCAACCAUGGAGAAUAGUAAGACACUUCAUUAUUUCUAUAACUACACUAUAUUGUUUGUCCUUGUGUGUCCGUUCAUGUUUUUCAGCAUAAUGUCCUCUGCAGCCACUUAGUGUGGUGUGGACACCAGGUGAGGCCACACACAGAUUCCUGUUGAACACUGUCACUACCUCAUUUUCUCAAUAACAGUCUCUCUCCUUUACUUCAUCCCUCUCUCCCCUUCUCCAUAAAUCCUCUAGGUUAUAUCAGCUGUGUCGGUGAACCCCUCCUGCAUCUGAACUGGCUACAAUAGAGGGCACAGCAUGAUCAGAGAUAUGUUUUGAUGUGAGAGGAUGCCAACCCCCAGUCCCAUCAUCACCACCUCACCUGCUUUUAAGAUAACCUUUGGGCUGAUGAGAGACACUAUUAUGUAAUUGUGAUGAACUGAGAGAAUAUUUAGGUAGCACUGUGAUUCAUUAAUCAUGUGAUGCCUUCCCUGCUCCUAUGUUCUUACCUCUUUCCCUUUCUGUCUUUUACACCUCUCCUUCCACCUCCUCUGUUUAUAUAAUUCACAACAGAUGUUCAUUGAAGUACAGUUUGAACUUGUAUUUAUAACAUUUGGAUAAUGAGCUUUUCAAUAAAGCGUUUCACGUUUCACAUACGAUGAAAAUUACAGGUCUCUAUCAUAUUUUUAAGUAGGAGAACGUGCACAAUUGGUGGCUGACUAAAUACUUUUUUGCCCCACUGUACAUGAUCAGUGAAUAUAUUAAAUGUAAAGGCUACAAUGUAGAGAUCUCAUGCAUAAUAAUAACUACAUGUACAGUGGGGCAAAAAAGUAUUUAGUCAGCCACCAAUUGUGCAAGUUCUCCCACUUAAGAUGAGAGAGAACUGUAAUUUUCAUCAUAGCUGCUUACCUAUUGCAGAUUCAGUCUUCCCAGCCUGGUACAGGUCUAGAAUUUUGUUUCUGAUGUCCUUUGACAGCUCUUUGGUCUUGGCCAUAGUGGAGUUUGGAGUGUGACUGUUUGAGGUUGUGGACAGGUGUAUUUUAUACUGAUAACAAGUUCAAACAGAUGCCAUUAAUACAGGUAACGAGUGGAAGACAGAGGAGCUUCUUAAAGAAGAAGUUACAGGUCUGUGAGAGCCAGAAAUGUUGCUUGUUUGUAGGUGACCAAAUACUUAUUUUCCACCAUAAUUUGCAAUUAAAUUCAUAAAAAAUCCUACAA